rnacentral:rRNA from 1 species
GAUGAACGCUAGCGGCAGGCUUAACACAUGCAAGUCGAGGGGUAUUGGUUUUCGGACCAAGAGACCGGCGCACGGGUGCGUAACGCGUAUGCAAUCUACCUUUUGCAGAGGGAUAGCCCAGAGAAAUUUGGAUCAAUACCUCAUAGUAUAGUACUUUGGCAUCAAGGAACUAUUAAAGUCACAACGGCAAAAGAUGAGCAUGCGUCCCAUUAGCUAGUUGGUAAGGUAACGGCUUACCAAGGCUACGAUGGGUAGGGGUCCUGAGAGGGAGAUCCCCCACACUGGUACUGAGACACGGACCAGACUCCUACGGGAGGCAGCAGUGAGGAAUAUUGGACAAUGGCGCAAGACCUGAUCCAGCCAUGCCGCGUGCAGGAUGACGGUCC